AUAACAUUCGAACCGUCGGUCUACCGAGCUGUUUCACCCGCUCAGUGGAAGAUCUUUUCUUUGUUGA
rnacentral:pre_miRNA from 1 species